rnacentral:rRNA from 1 species
UACAGAGGGUGCGAGCGUUAAUCGGAAUUACUGGGCGUAAAGCGUGCGCAGACGGUUGCGUAAGUCAGAUGUGAAAGCCCCGGGCUCAACCUGGGAAUUGCAUUUGAGACUGCGUAGCUAGGGUGCGGAAGAGGGAAGCGGAAUUUCCGGUGUAGCGGUGAAAUGCGUAGAUAUCGGAAGGAACACCAGUGGCGAAAAGCGGCUUCCUGGUCCAGCACCGACGUCAGGCACGAAAGCGUGGGGAGCAAACA